rnacentral:sRNA from 4 species
CCCUAGCCCUGAUAGUAGCGGCAUCCUUUUAUGUCCGCCGCGGCGGACAUAAAAGAUACAGUGAAUAGCAGGAAAUAGC